rnacentral:rRNA from 1 species
UACGUAGGGUGCAAGCGUUAAUCGGAAUUACUGGGCGUAAAGCGUGCGCAGGCGGUUAUGCAAGACAGAUGUGAAAUCCCCGGGCUCAACCUGGGAACUGCAUUUGUGACUGCAAGGCUGGAGUACGGCAGAGGGAGGUGGAAUUCCACGUGUAGCAGUGAAAUGCGUAGAGAUGUGGAGGAACACCGAUGGCGAAGGCAGCCUCCUGGGCUAGUACUGACGCUCAUGCACGAAAGCGUGGGGAGCAAACAGG